AUGACGAUCAAAAGAUUGAUAAGUGACUGCCAAGAUGCCAAUAAUGCUUGCCCCGUGCCAUUAGUCCAGAAUCUCAUCGAGCGCUGUCUCCAGCUGUAUAUGAACCAGAAAGAAGUGAUUGAUACCCUCUCCCUUGAGGCCAAGAUAGAACCGAGCUUUACUGAACUUGUUUGGCAAAAGCUUGAGGAAGAGAACCGUGAGUUUUUUAAGGCAUACUAUUUGAGGCUGAUGCUUAAGAAUCAAAUAACGGCCUUCAACAAGCUUCUUGAGGAUCAGUUCCAGCUUAUGAACAAAGACUAUUCUUCGGGAAUCCCUUCUAUGCCUCUCACUAAUGGCUCCAACUCCACAACAUUGAAGCAAAACUCGUGCUUUUUACCAGAGUCUGGUCCCAUAUCUGCUAUGCCAAAUGGUGCGAUGCGCAACGGAAGUUCAGGUGGUUUAAUAAAUGGAACAUCAUCUGGUGAUCAGUCAAUUUAUGGUGGCAAAGACAUUCACGGUCCUCAUAGUGGUAUGGAUGCUUCAACCAGCGUGCUACCAGCCCAGAAUGCAUCUGCUUUGCUGUAUGGUGCAGAUAAUAAUGGUACAACAAUAAAGACAGAGUCAAGCUAUUCGAGCAACGCUGAUUUUGCUUUCUGUGGGAAUGCUUUCCUUGAAUCAUGCCAAUCAAUUGGCGAUGCCUCGGCUGGUUCUUUUAGCAGCUCAGAGUUGAACGGGCAACCACUGAAUGAUGCACUUUUGGAUAUGGAGUCAUCGUCAUUUGGCUUCUUGAGCCAGAUUCCCCAGAAUUUCAGUUUUUCAGACUUAACAGAGGGGUUCAACCAAAAUACAGAAGUAUUGGAGAAUUAUGGCAGGUCACCAUUUCUCUCAUCUGAGCCAAAUAACUUCUCAGAUUCUACAGGUGGAGAACAUACAGGCUGA
rnacentral:rRNA from 1 species